GGGGCCUUAGCUUAGCUGGGAGAGCGCCUGCCUUGCACGCAGGAGGUCAGGGGUUCGAAUCCCCUAGGCUCCACCA
rnacentral:tRNA from 1 species